UACGAAGGGGGCUAGCGUUGUUCGGAAUUACUGGGCGUAAAGGGCUCGUAGGCGGCCAACUAAGUCGGAUGUGAAAUCCCCAGGCUCAACUUGGGAACUGCAUCCGAUACUGGAUGGCUUGAAUUCGGGAGAGGGAUGCAGAAUUCCAGGUGUAGCGGUGAAAUGCGUAGAUAUCUGGAGGAAUACCGGUGGCGAAGGCGGCAUCCUGGACCGACAUUGACGCUGAGGAGCGAAAGCUAGGGGAGCAAACGGG
rnacentral:rRNA from 1 species